rnacentral:rRNA from 1 species
GACGAACGCUGGCGGCGUGCCUAAUACAUGCAAGUCGAACGCUUCUUUUUCCACCGGAGCUUGCUCCACCGGAAAAAGAGGAGUGGCGAACGGGUGAGUAACACGUGGGUAACCUGCCCAUCAGAAGGGGAUAACACUUGGAAACAGGUGCUAAUACCGUAUAACAAUCGAAACCGCAUGGUUUUGAUUUGAAAGGCGCUUUCGGGUGUCGCUGAUGGAUGGACCCGCGGUGCAUUAGCUAGUUGGUGAGGUAACGGCUCACCAAGGCCACGAUGCAUAGCCGACCGGAGAGGGUGAUCGGCCACAUUGGGACUGAGACACGGCCCAAACUCCUACGGGAGGCAGCAGUAGGGAAUCUUCGGCAAUGGACGAAAGUCUGACCGAGCAACGCCGCGUUAGUGAAGAAGGUUUUCGGAUCGUAAAACUCUGUUGUUAGAGAAGAACAAGGAUGAGAGUAACUGUUCAUCCCUUGACGGUAUCUAACCAGAAAGCCACGGCUAACUACGUGCCAGCAGCCGCGGUAA